UAGCCAAGCCAUUGGACCGGACAGACCC
rnacentral:sRNA from 1 species